GAUGAACGCUGGCGGCGUGCCUAAUACAUGCAAGUCGAGCGAACAGACGAGGAGCUUGCUUCUCUGACGUUAGCGGCGGACGGGUGAGUAACACGUGGAUAACCUACCUAUAAGACUGGGAUAACUUCGGGAAACCGGAGCUAAUACCGGAUAAUAUAUUGAACCGCAUGGUUCAAUAGUGAAAGACGGUUUUGCUGUCACUUAUAGAUGGAUCCGCGCCGCAUUAGCUAGUUGGUAAGGUAACGGCUUACCAAGGCAACGAUGCGUAGCCGACCUGAGAGGGGGAUCGGCCACACUGGAACUGAGACACGGUCCAGACUCCUACGGGAGGCAGCAGUAGGGAAUCUUCCGCAAUGGGCGAAAGCCUGACGGAGCAACGCCGCGUGAGUGAUGAAGGUCUUCGGAUCGUAAAACUCUGUUAUUAGGGAAGAACAAAUGUGUAAGUAACUAUGCACGUCUUGACGGUACCUAAUCAGAAAGCCACGGCUAACUACGUG
rnacentral:rRNA from 1 species